UCCCCCUCUCUAUGCUGAGCCGUCCCCUCUGCGUGUCUUCGCCUCUGUCGGUCGCAGAUCUUAAUAUUUAACCCGAGUCAAUCAUAAACCAGCUAGUGACUAAUACCAGUCUUUUUAUACCACACCAUCAUGUACGCAUCGGCUGCUGGUACAUUUCCACAUGGAAAUUGGAGGAUCCCUUGUUGCCAUCAGGAUCAUGGUGCCAAUGUGGGGGUCCCACACGAUGACCCGAGUGUCGUAGGAGGCUGUGGCCAGCAGGGCUCCAUCAGGCUCACACCUCCGGCGGUAGCCUACGAAGAGACAGAUACUGCAAGAGAAAAGAACAUUUGAUGGCCAAAAGGUUGAUGCCUUUGGCAACACACGCACACACAAUCACACACAGUCACAUUCAGCAUUUUUUACUGUCAGCCAUGGUUUAAAACUUUACUUUGCUCCAGUGCAAUGCAUGACAAGAUGCUUGCAUGUUUAAUUACAUAUUUGAACGGGAAGUAGGAAAUACUUUGUCAUGUAUUUAGUAUAUUCUUACUGUUGCAACUUCCUAAUUCCUUAAUCAAAACAGAACCCCCAAAACAUUGCACUUGAGCAAAUGUGUAACAUUUAAGCUAAAGCAGCUAUAUGCCAUACCACAAUCUGGCAAUGUCAAUUAUUUGGCUACUCUACUUUACUCUGUGUUCUGCUCCACCCUUCUGUAGGUACUAGUGUUAAAUGAAAAGGCUCCCAAGGCUUGAGGCAACUGCCUGCAUUCCAGCCCAGCUGCAACCUCCACAUGCUUGACAUGAGAAGACUGACCGCUGCUACAACUGCAUAAGGGGGAAAUCAGCUCCAAAAUGGCUGGCAACAGUCAUUGUCAGUUUCCACUCCUGUAUUGGCUGCAAUUUUCUUACUCACAUUUCUUGUAGAUUUCUAUUUUGGAAUGAAUUAAUUUGUUCAGUGUUGGGUGGUAAAAGUUUUGACUGCUUUCAAAAAGUACAGCUGGCAUUCCGGCACCUGGGAAUGAAUUUCCUCUAGAACUCCCAAUGUUCAUGUUGUUGCCUCAGAUAAAGGCACAAAUGGGAAUUCA